rnacentral:rRNA from 1 species
CCUACGGGAGGCAGCAGUGGGGAAUAUUGGGCAAUGGACGCAAGUCUGACCCAGCAACGCCGCGUGAAGGAAGAAGGCUUUCGGGUUGUAAACUUCUUUUAAGGGGGAAGAGCAGAAGACGGUACCCCUUGAAUAAGCCACGGCUAACUAGGUGCCAGCAGCCGCGGUAAUACGUAGGUGGCAAGCGUUGUCCGGAUUUACUGGGGGUAAAGGGUGUGCAGCCGGAGUGACAAGUCAGAUGUGAAAUCCACGGGCUCAACCCGUGAACUGCAUUUGAAACUGUUUCCCUUGAGUGUCGGAGAGGUGAUCAGAAUUCCUUGUGUAGCGGUGAAAUGCGUAGAUAUAAGGAAGAACACCAGUGGCGAAGGCGGAUUACUGGACGAUAACUGACGGUGAGGCACGAAAGCGUGGGUAUCGAACAGGAUUAGAUACCCCGGUAGUC